CGGGCCCAGAGACGUGAGGCUGUCGGCGUCCUGGUGGCCCCGCCUCGUGUCCCCCCCCGGACCCCACGCCGCGGGAGCUUGGGGGUUGCGGUCUUCUCUUCCUCCGACCUCACCUUCGAUGCGGAAGCGCAGGGGCAGCCCCUACCCUCGUGACUACAAGGGAAAACGUGCGGUGCUCACGAGAGAGCCUUUAUGGGAUUUUUAAAAAAUGGGGAUUGUGGGAAAAUGGCUCCAGCAGUCACAGUUUUUCAGUUUCUCACAAUCCCAUAAAAACAGAGCAACCAGGUAACAAAACUAAAGCAUGGGCAACAUUUACAGACCACUGGAUGGUGAAGAAUUCCCAUGAACCCCUGGUUCACACUGUAAGGACACACUACUCAGCAUGGGCAACAUUUACAGACUACUGGAUGGUGAAGAAUUCCCAUGAACCCCUGGUUCACACUGUAAGGACAGACUACUCAGCAUGGGCAACAUUUACAGACCACUGGAUGAUGAAGAAUUCCCAUGAACUCCUGGUUCCAACUGUAAGGACACACUACUCAGCUGUAGCCUGAAGCCGCCUCCUUACAUACUGGGAAGGCGCCCAGUCCCCAGGAGCACAAUCUGUCC
rnacentral:lncRNA from 1 species